GCGGUCGUAGUCUAGUGGUAGGACGCGGGCCCCCCAAGCCCGUUGCCCGGGUUCGAAUCCCGGCGGCCGCA
rnacentral:tRNA from 1 species